rnacentral:rRNA from 1 species
CCUGGGGAGUACGGUCGCAAGGCUAAAACUCAAAGGAAUUGACGGGGGCUCACACAAGCGGUGGAGCAUGUGGUUCAAUUCGAAGCAACGCGAAGAACCUUACCCGGGUUUGAAAUCCACGGAUGGGUCCGAUGAAAGUUGGAUACCCUGCCCGCAAGGGUGAAACGUGGACAGGUGUUGCAUGGCUGUCGUCAGCUCGUGUCGUGAGAUGUCGGGUUAAGUCCCUCAACGAGCGAAACCCUUGUCUCUAGUUGCCAACGGUUCGGCCGGGGACUCUAGAGAGACUGCCGUUGUGAAAACGGAGGAAGGUGGGGACGACGUCAAGUCAUCAUGGCCUUUAUGUCCGGGGCUACACACGUGCUACAAUGGACGGUACAAAGGGAUGCAAAAUCGCGAGAUCAAGCAAAACUCAGAAAACCGUCCCCAGUUCAGAUUGGAGGCUGCAACCCGCCUCCAUGAAGAUGGAAUCGCUAGUAAUCGCGGAUCAGCUACGCCGCGGUGAAUAUGUUCCUGGGCCUUGUACACACCGCCCGUCAAGCCACGAAAGCUGACAGUACCCGAAGUCGCGUACCCAACCGCAAGGAGGGAAGCGCCCACGGUAAGGUCGGUGAUGG